AUUGAACGCUGGCGGCAUGCUUUACACAUGCAAGUCGAACGGUAACAGGCCGCAAGGUGCUGACGAGUGGCGAACGGGUGAGUAAUGCAUCGGAACGUGCCCAGUCGUGGGGGAUAACGCAGCGAAAGCUCUGCUAAUACCGCAUACGAUCUAUGGAUGAAAGCGGGGGACCGUAAGGCCUCGCGCGAUUGGAGCGGCCGAUGUCAGAUUAGGUAGUUGGUGGGGUAAAGGCCUACCAAGCCGACGAUCUGUAGCUGGUCUGAGAGGACGACCAGCCACACUGGGACUGAUACACGGCCCAGACUCCUACGGGAGGCAGCAGUGGGGAAUUUUGGACAAUGGGCGCAAGCCUGAUUCAGCAAUGCCGCGUGCAGGAAGAAGGCCUUCGGGUUGUAAACUGCUUUUGUACGGAACGAAACGGCCUGGGUUAAUACCCUGGGCUAAUGACGGUACCGUAAGAAUAAGCACCGGCUAACUACGUGCCAGCCGCCGCGGUAACAC
rnacentral:rRNA from 1 species